GGUGAUUGACACUCCUGACCACCAAUCAGUAGCGAGCAGGCACUAUUUAGAGUGGGUUGGUUUGAGCCUGGCAUGCGUCACGUCCGUAUCCUCCCCUUUUUCGGCUGCUAUAGUGAUUUCAGCCUGUCUUUUCAGUGUGUCCCUGUUGGAUGCUGGUUUGGAUCUGUUUACUGCCCUCCCUGCAGGCUGCGUAUCCUGAGCGGUGAAUUGAUUCUCAGGAACUUAUCUAUCCGCGUUUGGAUCCUCCUUUUUCGUCCUGGGUGAUUAUUGCUGCGAUUCGACUUUUCCCUCGCUGUGCGCCGAGCGAACAACCUCAGCUUACAACUAUUUAAAAGGGGACUUCUGCUGCUGCCGUUUGGCUUUUGUGAUUUGUUUUAACCGGUAUUGUCUGGUCUACUGUGGGAUCGUGCAACGUGCAAGUAUCGGGGACGACGCGGCCGCUCCUUUUGAGUUUUGCUUCCCUCAAACUUUUAAUAACGUUUUUUAUUGUUUUUCGUUUAAGCGGUGUAUAUGGUGAAUCAUAUUAUGCUUUGGUGACCAUCCAUCAUAUUACGGUGGAACUGUGACCUUAAUUCGCUGUUCCUUCAUUUUUGCCUGAGAUUUAUUUUGCUUUUGGUUUCUUUCAGGAGCUGGGGUCCCACGGGUGAAGGGUCUUUGGUGGUGCUAUUUCUACGUGCGACACUUUUGACGUGUAUGAGUGGGUGCUCUGAGUUCACGGUGAGGUGUGUGCGGGUGUGUGUGUGCGUGGAAGUGUGCUUUUUGAUAAUUAGUGCUGAUCACCAGCCCUGUAUUUAAUGAUUUUAUUUUGUUUUGCUUAUUGGGAAAUGGUGUAAAUUUGUUGUUUAGUAUUUUGUCUGUUUAUUUUUGUUCUUUGUGUAAUUGUCACCGGACCGUAUUCACCAGCGAGAACAUUUUCUUUUUGUUUUAUUUUCUAAAGCCAAGCUUUCAAUAAACUCUGUAAUUUUUAUUA